CCUACGGGUGGCAGCAGUGAGGAAUAUUGGUCAAUGGACGAGAGUCUGAACCAGCCAAGUAGCGUGAAGGAUGACUGCCCUAUGGGUUGUAAACUUCUUUUAUAAAGGAAUAAAACGAGGCACGUGUGCCUUUUUGCAUGUACUUUAUGAAUACGGAGCGGCUAACUCCGUGCCAGCAGCCGCGGUAAUCCUGAGGAUCCGAGCGUUAUCCGGAUUUAUUGGGUGUAAAGGGAGCGUAGAUGGGUUGUUAAGUCAGUUGUGAAAGUUUGCGGCUCAACCGUAAAAUUGCAAUUGAUACUGGCAGUCGUGAGUACAGUUGAGGUAGGCGGAAUUCGUGGUGUAGCGGUGAAAUGCUUAGAUAUCACGAAGAACCCUGAUUGCGAAGGCAGCUUACUAAACUGUGACUGACAUUGAGGCUCGAAAGUGUGGGUAUCAAACAGGAUUAGAUACCCCAGUAGUC
rnacentral:rRNA from 1 species